GCAUAUCAAUAAGCGGAGGAAAAGAAACCAACAGGGAUUGCCCCAGUAACGGCGAGUGAAGCGGCAACAGCUCAAAUUUGAAAUCUGGCCCCCAGGGCCCGAGUUGUAAUUUGCAGAGGAUGCUUUCGGCGCGGCCCCUUCCGAGUCCCCUGGAACGGGGCGCCACAGAGGGUGAGAGCCCCGUAUGGUCGGACGCCAAGCCGGUGUAAAGCUCCUUCGACGAGUCGAGUAGUUUGGGAAUGCUGCUCUAAAUGGGAGGUAAAUUUCUUCUAAAGCUAAAUAUAGGCCAGAGACCGAUAGCGCACAAGUAGAGUGAUCGAAAGAUGAAAAGCACCUUGAAAAGAGGGUUAAACAGUACGUGAAAUUGUUGAAAGGGAAGCGCUUGUGACCAGACUCGCGCCCGGCGGAUCAUCCGGCGUUCUCGCCGGUGCGCUCCGCCGGGCUCGGGCCAGCAUCGGUUUCCGCCGGGGGACAAAGGCGCCGGGAACGUGGCUCCCCUCGGGGAGUGUUAUAGCCCGGCGUGCAAUGCCCCGGCGGGGACCGAGGACCGCGCUUCGGCAAGGAUGCUGGCGUAAUGGUCAUCAGCGACCCGUCUUGAAACACGGACCAAGGAGUCAAGCAUUAGGGCGAGUGUUUGGGUGUGAAACCCGCACGCGAAAUGAAAGUGAACGCAGGUGAGAGCUUCGGCGCAUCAUCGACCGAUCCUGAUGUAUUCGGAUGGAUUUGAGUAGGAGCCUUAACGCUUGGACCCGAAAGAUGGUGAACUAUGCCUGUAUAGGGUGAAGCCAGAGGAAACUCUGGUGGAGGCUCGCAGCGGUUCUGACGUGCAAAUCGAUCGUCAAAUAUGGGCAUA
rnacentral:rRNA from 1 species